AACAAAUGGGUUGAUUUGAGAUGAAUUUAAAUAGUAGAUUAGAUUAAUGUCAUGUUGUUUAGUACUCAAGUGAUGAUUCAGGUGUUGCUCAAACACUAUCUCCUCACAGCUGAAGCUUAACAUCUACUGUAUUUCCCCAACACAGCAUGCUUGACUUUGUUUUGAAAUAAUACAGUUGCCGUUCCUCCCCAGGCCUCACCUCAGAGUCCCGCUGUAUGCAGCAGCCACAAACAACCCAGGGAUUCCAGGGUAGAUCGCCAAAAUAUCCAUCACAAGUUACCGUCUGUGAGAUGUACAUUGACGUCCCAAUUAUCCGGAUGGGCCGACUGAAGCGCAGCCCCAGGUGCUGGUUAUCCCCAGUCGGUAAAAAAGGGGGACAAAGAUCUCAGCGGUGACGACAGACAUGAUGGCAUAGGAGAAGCCGAAGAGCCAGAAGGCCGAUCCAAACCGGUAAGCCUCAGCUGGUGUGCCGAUGACCGUGAU